AGGGCCCUUUAAACUGAAACAUUUGUCAAAAUGAUGUCUUGAUUCACAUGGUAGCAUUUUCUUCUUUUUUCUCAAGAGGGUUAUUAAUCCCCAGGUGUUUCUGAAAGAAUUCCAUCUUAAAACCAAAGUCAUUACAGAGACGCCCAAGUGCAAUUCAAUCUAAGCUUCUCCGAGAAGAGCUUACCGUAAAGGCAGAUUCCUUAUUGUUUUCCCACUUCUUAGUCACAGAGAAAUUCAGAGGGGAAUACUGAAAGGAAGGAACCCCAGAGAAGAAGUCGUGAGAACCGUGGUGUCCAGUGAGCCAAGAUCUCUGGCUGGGCACUGUUGGAUGAAUACAGAGUUGUGAUCCGAACACUGAGGUCUAGAGGCUGAGGACUCUCCGAUCAAGAUAGCGUCAGGUUUGGUGCCUGGCAAGUGCUACUUUCCGCUUCCUGUCGCUCUGUUCUCCAAUGAGAUCAGAGUCCUCACAUGGUGGACAAGCCGAAAAGGAACCAAAGGAAGAGAGAAGUUCCCUCCAGCCCCUUUGCAAGGUGUUCCCAAAAGGCCACCACAACCCUGUUUCAAAUGGAAUGUCACAGAUGGACUACAGAGCCGAAUAGAACUUUCUCCCCAUCCUUAAAAAGCGUUGGAGCUCUUUUUCUGAAGUAUUCUACUCCAGGGGCAUUUAUCCCCUACUGACGCCCUAGCAGAAAGUAUCUAUCUCUUGGUGAUAAUCUGAACAUGGUAUUCUGUGACCAUCGCUAUUUUCACCUUUUAAAGCUAAUAAUUUUAAAGCGUUUUAACUCAAAUAUUUGAUUGGCUUCAGUAUGUUUUAUUGCAGCGCGGAUGACAUCAUUUCUUAACAAUGCCAUUAACACUGGUAAACAUGAAUCCCAGGGAUGAAGAGAUGGAUCCGUGCUAAGAGCACCAACAUGCUGGCAUUAAGACCCCAGUUCAAAUCUCUGUCACCUGUGUUCCACACAAUAAGAGCUAAAAGAGCUGAGUAUGGCUGUGCACACAUAAACCCCCAGCCCUGGAGGGUCAGCGACAAGUGGUAUCUCUGAGAGACCCUGUCUCAGGAGAAAAGGGCAGCCUCUGGCCUCCAUGUGCAACUGUACCUUCAGCCGCAAACCCCAGCACACAAACACAGUGAAGUCUGUUGGCGUAUGUAAUGCUACAUCACUGUUGAGGAAAUACUGGUUUGGUGAGGACCUAAGGUGGGUCUCACAUGCUGACCAACAUCUUUUGGGGUUCUACAGGCAUUCUUACAUUUAAACUAAGCAUAAGUAGUUUUGUUUGGGAAAAGGUCUGGAUUACAAUGCACUUCCCAGGAGAAUGUUGAAUUUUCG